rnacentral:lncRNA from 1 species
UAACACAGAUCUGGCCAAGGGGACUGACUUACUGGAAGUGAAAAGUAUUAUAAUGUUGCAUCAAUAACAUGGCACUUCAGCAGAGAUUCAUGAUGAUUCAGGUGAUAGUAUGCCAGUGCUUCAUUUGCUCUUCAAAUAUCUGUGUACUUGGAGCCAUGGUUUCCUAAGUACAUAGUUUUUGGUCUUGCCUCAUUUAAAAUAGUUAACGAUUAUCAUUUAUUUUGAAAGUUUUCACUUGUGAAGUGAAUCUUUCAUUGACAGCAAAGGUAUGAGGUGAUCAGGAAGUUUCUCAUAGAAUUUUCUCAAGUCCUUGUAUUCUAAAAUAGCCUAUGAUACCAAUUCUUUGUCUUUGUUUUUUCAAUCAGAUGGUAUUUUAUUCAGUACCUACUGUGAGCUCAGCACUAAAGGUCAGUUGGUAAAAUGACAGUUUAAAAAUGGCAUAUAGCCACAGGCCUUUUCCAGCUAGGAGUAAGAAAUAAAAGGUUAAUGAUACUUGGAAAUUCCUGGAUAUUUGCUAGAGGAAAAAUGAAAGCAAAAAUUUGUGCACAGUGCCUUGCCCAUAAUAGGUACUCAAUAAACAGUUAUUCCUCAGAGUCUCUUGCCAUGGUUUAUAGUGUUUUAUGAAAUUUGUCUUAAUUGAAAAAAAGACCAAAUAUUUCAAAUAAGCUUAUAGGCAGCUGUGGCCAGUUAAAUAUGGGGUUGUACAGUUAGUUCCUAGAAUGUUAUUUUGCACUAGUUGUCACUUAGAAAGAAGGGGUUCCUGUAGAUUUUUGGUGCUAAGGGAUACUUUGUCAAUAUGAUGAAGUAAAUGUUAAGUGUCAGAUAAAUAGCACACUGAAUAGUUCUUUCUGCUGGUCUGUUUUUUCCUCUUUGUUGUUGGUGUUGUUUUUAAUUGUAAAAUGUUUAUCAAUCAAACUAUUGUAGCAGCUACAAAAUAAUUCACCAGCAUGACAAAAUGGUCAAAAAAAUAAGUCAUCAGCACUUCAAAAAUGAAAGCAACUUUUGAGAUUUUCUUUUAAAAUUGUCAAAUAUAUUUUAUGAAGAAUUUAUAAAAGGGGGAAAUGAUUGUAAUUUAUUGUUCAUGACUGUUUUUUUUUAAUAAAGUGAGUUUCAACAAAAAAACAACCCACCCUGAAAAUUUCAUAUUGUUGAAUUUGGUGGCUCUGUAUAGUUCUAUAGUGCUUUACUUCAUGAACAUAAAAUAGAGGGUAUAAUAUUUGAAUCAAUGUCAUUUUCACCCUAUUAGGUGAAACUUUCUGUAAUAGAAACGAUUGCUGAGGAAAAGAUUAUUGAAUUCUAGGAAUUUCUUUCAGCAUUUCAAGUUCUCAAAUUUUAAUGCUUACUAUCUUGUAUUUGUCAGAAGAACUUGUACUGCCUGAAAUAAAUGAUUUUUUCAU